CAACCCUCAAGCCCCUCCAGGCGUGGCGUUGGGGAUCGGCCCCGCUAUGGCGGCCGGCCCCGAAAUGUAGUGGCGGUCUCGCCGCUGCCUCCUCUGCGUAGUAGAAACACCUCGCAUUGGGACGCGGCGCGGCCACGCCGUUAACCAGAUGAAUUUUUUCAA
rnacentral:misc_RNA from 1 species